rnacentral:rRNA from 1 species
GUGAGGGGCAUGUGAGGGCUGUCGCUGACUCAAAGUCGUGCACGCCCGAGUGUGUCCUCUCACAUAAUAAUCCAUCUCACCCUUUGUGCAUCGCCGCGUGAGCACCCUUUGGGAUCAUCUCGGAGGGGGCUCGCGUUUUCACACAAACCCCCCUUUUAAAAGUGUAGAAUGACCUCAUUUAUGCGCUAACACGCAAUCAAUACAACUUUCAACAACGGAUCUCUUGGCUCUCGCAUCGAUGAAGAACGCAGCGAAAUGCGAUACGUAAUGUGAAUUGCAGAAUUCAGUGAAUCAUCGAAUCUUUGAACGCACCUUGCGCCCCUUGGUAUUCCGAGGGGCACACCCGUUUGAGUGUCGUGAAAACCUCAACCUCCUCGGUUUCUUCUGGAGACCAAAGGCAGGCUUGGACUUUGGAGGCCCUUGCUGGAACCUCUCUCUUUUGAAGGCCAGCUCCUCUUAAACGAAUUAGCAGGGUCCUCUUUGCCGAUCCUCGACGUGUGAUAAGAUGUUUCCAUGUCUUGGUUUCUGGCUCUGUCACUUUUGGGACCCGCUUCUAACCGUCUUGACCUUGCAUCGAGACAAUGUUCGAGCAUGUCUCCCUUCUCGGGAAGCUCCCUCGACCCCACGAACCCUUGACCUCAAAUCGGGUGAGACUACCCGCUGAACUUAAGCAUAUCAAUAAGCGGAGGAAAAGAAACUAACAAGGAUUCCCCUAGUAACUGCGAGUGAAGCGGGAAAAGCUCAAAUUUAAAAUCUGGCGGUCUUUGGCCGUCCGAGUUGUAAUUUAGAGAAGCGUCUUCCGCGCUGGACCGUGUACAAA